rnacentral:rRNA from 1 species
GAUGAACGCUGGCGGCGUGCCUAAUACAUGCAAGUCGAGCGAACAGACGAGGAGCUUGCUCCUCUGACGUUAGCGGCGGACGGGUGAGUAACACGUGGAUAACCUACCUAUAAGACUGGGAUAACUUCGGGAAACCGGAGCUAAUACCGGAUAAUAUAUUGAACCGCAUGGUUCGAUAGUGAAAGACGGUUUUGCUGUCACUUAUAGAUGGAUCCGCGCCGCAUUAGCUAGUUGGUAAGGUAACGGCUUACCAAGGCAACGAUGUGUAGCCGACCUGAGAGGGUGAUCGGCCACACUGGAACUGAGACACGGUCCAGACUCCUACGGGAGGCAGCAGUAGGGAAUCUUCCGCAAUGGGCGAAAGCCUGACGGAGCAACGCCGCGUGAGUGAUGAAGGUCUUCGGAUCGUAAAACUCUGUUAUUAGGGAAGAACAAAUGUGUAAGUAACUAUGCACGUCUUGACGGUACCUAAUCAGAAAGCCACGGCUAACUACGUG